AACGAACGCUGGCGGCAUGCCUAACACAUGCAAGUCGAACGAGACCUUCGGGUCUAGUGGCGCACGGGUGCGUAACGCGUGGGAACCUGCCCUUAGGUUCGGAAUACCUCCCCGAAAGGGGUGCUAAUACCGGAUAAUGUCUUCGGACCAAAGAUUUAUCGCCUUUGGAUGGGCCCGCGUUGGAUUAGCUAGUUGUUAGGGUAAAAGCCUACCAAGGCGACGAUCCAUAGCUGGUCUGAGAGGAUGAUCAGCCACACUGGGACUGAGACACGGCCCAGACUCUUACGGGAGGGAGCAGUGGGUAAUAUUGGACAAUGGGCGAAAGGCUGAUCCAGCAAUGCCGGGUGAGUGAUGAAGGCCGUAGGGUUGUAAAGCUCUUUUACCCAGGAUGAUAAUGACAGUACCGGGAGAAUAAGCUCCGGCUAACUCCGUG
rnacentral:rRNA from 1 species